ACCAAAUGGAAACUCUUGCAGUUAUUCAAGUCAUGUCAUGAAGUUAAUAAAGUUAAUAAACACUAAAUUAUAUAGGGUAGUGGCGGUGGUGAUGAAGAUGAAGGAAGCUGGAGUAUGAUGCCCUUAUCAUAAUCCUGCAGGAAAUCAGGACUCUCCUGUACUUUUAACUCUGACUCCCUCACUCAAGGACCUAUCACCAUCUGUCAAGUCACUCAGCCAAGCCCUGGAAUCCCGCAUGGAUUUCCUUUGGAAGAGGCCCAGCUCCUGGAGUGGCCUCAGCAAUAGCAGUACCCACAUGUGGCUUAGAACCCAAGCAUCCAAUCCCAACUAAGCAAAGGUUGGCCCUGGUCAUCAGCAAUGGUAACAAUGAGGAUGAGAAUUUUCAAAGCCACACCACCCAAGGUAGACUGGGAAACUGAAGGCUCUCCUAUAACCAGUUGAAACUGCAAGAAAAAUUGAAGAAGGCCCCCUUGCAAUCACUCUAAGUGGAAUUUGAUUUCUAUCUUGGGAUAAACGUUUCAACUGGAAGGUAAGUGCUAGGAGAUAAGAAAGAUAAGGAAGCCAUAUGGCUCAGUUUUUUUUUUUUAAUGAAGGAUUA
rnacentral:lncRNA from 1 species